CUUAAGAAACCAGCAUGGUUAAUCGCGACCGCCAACAUCUUCGUCGUAAUCCAUGUCAUCGGUAGUUACCAGAUCUAUGCAAUGCCGGUGUUUGACAUGAUGGAGACUUUAUUGGUCAAGAAGCUAAAUUUCAGACCGACCACAGCUCUUCGGUUCUGUGUCCGUAAUUUCUACGUUGCUGCCACUAUGUUUGUUGGUAUGACGUUUCCGUUCUUCGGUGGCCUUUUGGCGUUCUUUGGUGGAUUUGCGUUUGCUCCAACCACAUACUUUGUA